UACGUAGGGAGCAAGCGUUGUCCGGAUUUAUUGGGCGUAAAGAGCGUGUAGGCGGCCAUACAGGUCCGUUGUGAAAACUCGAGGCUUAACCUCGAGACGUCGAUGGAAACCGUAUGGCUAGAGUCCGGAAGAGGAGAGUGGAAUUCCUGGUGUAGCGGUGAAAUGCGCAGAUAUCAGGAAGAACACCCGUGGCGAAGGCGGCUCUCUGGGACGGUACUGACGCUGAGACGCGAAAGCGUGGGGAGCGAACAGG
rnacentral:rRNA from 1 species